GCCAGGAAGAGAAAGAAUGGAUGGCCUGAGAGCAGUGGGAAUGGAAACAUGGAGGAAAGCCUAACUUGUUUGUAUUCUCCUCCAACAAUGAAUUUGGUUUGUGCUUUCCCAAUGCUUCCCGUUCCUAUUUCUCUUGAGCAAUUCUUCCUCAUUUUUGCU
rnacentral:pre_miRNA from 1 species